UGUUGAAUAACUGAGCGGCAGCCGGUGAGAAUCUUCCUUUUAUAUCCGCGAUUAUCUGCGUGUCUGCGUGUGGAAUUUCCUGCCAUGCCAUUGGUCCAUUUCCAGUGACUUGGCGGCCUUCUAUUGGCUGAACCACCAGACACCUCUCCUGAUUGGCUGCCGGCCUGUGACGUGGGCGGCUCUUAUUGAAAACGGACCAUUGAUCGCUGCCUCUCGUUUUCUUUGCGUGACCAGGAUACAAAAGAUAGG